rnacentral:rRNA from 1 species
GUGAGUAAUGUCUGGGAAACUGCCUGAUGGAGGGGGAUAACUACUGGAAACGGUAGCUAAUACCGCAUGACGUCUUCGGACCAAAGUGGGGGACCUUCGGGCCUCACGCCAUCAGAUGUGCCCAGAUGGGAUUAGCUAGUAGGUGGGGUAAUGGCUCACCUAGGCGACGAUCUCUAGCUGGUCUGAGAGGAUGACCAGCCACACUGGAACUGAGACACGGUCCAGACUCCUACGGGAGGCAGCAGUGGGGAAUAUUGCACAAUGGGCGCAAGCCUGAUGCAGCCAUGCCGCGUGUAUGAAGAAGGCCUUCGGGUUGUAAAGUACUUUCAGCGAGGAGGAAGGCAUUGUGGUUAAUAACCACAGUGAUUGACGUUACUCGCAGAAGAAGCACCGGCUAACUCCGUGCCAGCAGCCGCGGUAAUACGGAGGGUGCAAGCGUUAAUCGGAAUUACUGGGCGUAAAGCGCACGCAGGCGGUUGAUUAAGUCAGAUGUGAAAUCCCCGAGCUUAACUUGGGAACUGCAUUUGAAACUGGUCAGCUAGAGUCUUGUAGAGGGGGGUAGAAUUCCAGGUGUAGCGGUGAAAUGCGUAGAGAUCUGGAGGAAUACCGGUGGCGAAGG